rnacentral:rRNA from 1 species
AUACGAAGGGGGCAAGCGUUGUUCGGAAUAACUGGGCGUAAAGCGCACGUAGGCGGAAUGUUAAGUUAGAGGUGAAAUCCCAGGGCUCAACCCUGGAACUGCCUUUAAUACUGGCAAUCUAGAGACCGUGAGAGGUGAGUGGAAUUCCGAGUGUAGAGGUGAAAUUCGUAGAUAUUCGGAGGAACACCAGUGGCGAAGGCGGCUCACUGGCUCGGUACUGACGCUGAGGUGCGAAAGCGUGGGGAGCAAACAGAAUUAGAUACCCUAGUAGUCC